rnacentral:rRNA from 1 species
UACAGAGGCCUCAAGCGUUGUUCGGAAUCACUGGGCGUAAAGGGUGCGUAGGCGGCGCGGAAAGUCAGGGGUGAAAUCCCGGAGCUCAACUCCGGAACUGCCUUUGAUACUCCCGCGCUUGAGAACUGGAGGGGACAUCGGAAUUCACGGUGGAGCAGUGAAAUGCGUGGAUAUCGUGAGGAACACUAGUGGCGAAGGCGGAUGUCUGGACAGUAUCUGACGCUGAGGCACGAAGGCCAGGGGAGCAAACGGG